UUUUCAUCAUUAUGUUUAUGUUCACACUCUUUAACAUCAUCAUUCUCAUAUUCUCAACAUCAUUUUCUCGCCAUCAGGUUCAUAUUCCAUCCAUAUUUUUACCAUCAAUUUCAUUUUCACACUUCUAACAUCAUUUUCUCACUAUCAGGUUCAUAUUCCCACCCAACAUCAUAUUCUCACCAUCAAUUUCAUUUUCACACUUCCGACAAUGCAUUCUCACCAUCAAAUUCAUCCUCACACUUCUAACAUCAUUUUCACAUCAUCAGAUUCAUAUUCCUACUUAACAUCAUAUUCUCACCAUCAAUUUCAUUUUCACACUCAUGACAACGAAUUCUCGCCAUCAAAUUCAUAUUCAUUCUUCAUAUUCACACUCUUUUCAAUAUCAUUUUCACAUCAUCAGGUUCAUAUUCCUACUUAACAUCAUAUUCUCAUCAUCAAUUUCAUUUUCUCACUUCCAACAUUAAAUUUUCUUCUCAACAUCAUUUUCUCACUAUCAGGUUCAUAUUCCCACCCAACAUCAUAUUCUCACCAUCAAUUUCAUUUUCACACUUCCGACAAUGAAUUCUCGCCAUCAAAUUCAUCUUCACGCUUCUAACAUCAUUUUCACAUCAUCAGGUUCAUAUUCCCACGCAACAUCAUGUUCUCACCAUCAAUUUCAUUUUCACACUUCUGACAAUGAAUUCUCACCAUCAAAGUCAUAUUCAUUCUUCAUAUUCACACUCUUUUCAAUAUCAUUUUCACAUCAUCAGGUUCAUAUUCCCACGCAACAUCAUGUUCUCACCAUCAAUUUCAUUUUCACACUUCUGACAAUGAAUUCUCGCCAUCAAAUUCAUACUCAUUCUUCAUAUUCACACUCUUUUCAAUAGCAUUUUCUCGCCAUUACGCUCAUAUUCCCACGCAACUUCAUAUUCUCAUCAUCAAUUUCAUAUUUACACUUCCAACAUUAAAUUCUUGCUAUUAAAAUUCAUAUUCAUUCUUCAUAUUCACAAUCUUCCCACCAUCAGGUUCAUAUUCACACUCAACAUCAUAUUCUCUUAAUUUCAUAUUCACACUUGGACCAAUAAAUUCUCACCAUCAAAAUUCAAAACCAUUCCCAACUUCAUUUUCACAUAUCAUAUCCACACUCCUUAACAUCAUUUCAGCAUCAUAAAGUUCACAUCAACGGGCUUUUUUGUUUGUUUGUUUGUUUGUUUGUUUUGAGCUGUCUCCCUUGCUGUCAAAAAAUACAAAUAAAUAAAUAAAAAUCCUUCUCAAAUUCCUUUCCUCGUCAUCAAGUUUAAAUUCCGUCACCACAAGUUCAUUUUCAGACUUAUAACAUCACCUUCAUUCACUUCACUUUCAUUUACCAAGUUCAUUUUCAGACUUAUAACAUCACCCUCAUUCACUUCACUUUCAUUUACCAAGUUCAUUUUCAGACUUAUAACAUCACUUUCACUGACUUCACUUUCAUUUACCAAGUUCAUUUUCAGAUUUAUAACAUCACUUUCACUGACUUCACUUUCAUUUACCAAGUUCAUUUUCAGACUUAUAACAUCAACUUCAUUCACUUUACUUUCAUUUACCAAGUUCAUUUUCACGCAUUCUCUGGUCACCAUCAAGGUCAUAUUCACACUCGUCAACGCACUUUCCUCAUAUUCUGCCUUUUUAACAUACAUUUUCUC